UAAAUUGUAAGCUAUAUAAGCUAUUGGGUUCAUACCCCAAAUAAGAGAAUACUCCAAUUUUA
rnacentral:tRNA from 1 species